UCUCAUCCUUAUUGUAUCAUGCACAUAUGUCGCAAUAAGGGGAAAAAUAAAAAUGGAGCACGUGUGUGCCUCACCAGUGCAGCUUUUUGUCGUUUAAUGAUGGAAGAGGAAGGAGAGGCGCUCGCGGAGGCUUUAAUUGGUGUCUGGGUUUGCUUUGUCAGGGGAGUGUCGCUGACAUGAACUCAAACCUGUGAGGAAAAAAAAAACAAAACAUCCUGUCCCACACCUGGCCUAGAGGCCUCUUGAACGUGCGUUAAUGACUUAGUCAAUAACGCUUAAGACGUGGUCGCGUAGCAACCGAAGGCUCCCAUCAAAAGGGAAAGCCACCCAGCUAAUCGGGGGGCGGGGGGGUGUUUUUAAAUAAGACAGAUAAUAGAGCAAAAAGCGAGUAGGGAAUAAAAUCACGCACCUCAUCGUUUAUCAGCUACAUUCCUUGCGCUCGGGGGAAGGAUUUAAAGUGCAAAUCCUGCACAUGAGAAGCCCUCGACUUUUAAGAGGCGAUAUCCGUCGGCUUCACGAAAACGCUGACAAAUUCUAGCAGAUGAGAUUGCAGAGUUGAACCGUAAACCAACAACAGAAGUGGACCAAGAAGGGCGCCCUGAGGUAACAGACACGUACUGAUCAUAAAUGCAAACGUUUCAACGUUUUUAUUGAGGCAGACUCAAAUGUCCAUGAGAGACUGCAACAUUGAAAGCAGUCAUAAACACACACACACACAAAAAAAAAACAUUAAUAUCGUACAUUUCCGAGGUUAAUGAAUUCCAACUGUGAGUCACAAUCUCGCAUUCAUUCGUUUGCUCGUUCUUUUGUCGAUUUGUGAGUCAUUAAAGUCUCCACGGGGACUUCAAUGAUGGAAAGGGCAACGUUCAGACACUUUGGGAAAGGGGAUUGUCUCCACUUGAAAUUGGUCUGCUCUUCGGUCAAAUCAUUAGGCACAGUACACGUUUCAAAUAUUAUUCGUUUAACAAUACGUUUAUUUUUGCGGUUAGAGGCUUUAAUUUUUUUUUUUUUGGGUGGGUGUGCAAUCGGAGUUUUAGAAUGAUGUAAGCACAGAGGCUCCAAAGUGUCAACAUAUUAGAAAGAAUGCUUAGGACGGUGCAGUCUAACUACAGUACAAGCCAAUUAUGACAAAAUUUUCA